rnacentral:lncRNA from 14 species
UGACCCUUGCUGACUGUUCUCGUGAGAAACAUACAUUUGAUGUGAAGAACCGGCGGACACAGUCUCAAAGCAAUCCUUUGAUCUCUUGGAACUACUCCAUCAUCCUGAGGCACAACUCAGCAAGCUGUGGCUCAUCUAAAGACAAUCUUUAUCGACCAAAGGGCAUUUAGUCUACAGUUGUGUAAAUUUUGACAGGAC